ACCUUCGUCGAUAAUGACAUGCCCUGAAGCAGUUCUACACUCGAGGGUACACUCGAGUCUCUGUCAUCAAACCAUCCGUCAGUUAUACAACCCUUAUGCUCCUCAGACCAAACCUAGGUAAUCUUGAUUGACACCCUUAUUGCUCUCAAUCUCUAUUCUUACCAAAAUGCUUAGCUUCUCUCUCUAAACUAAGUCUAGAUUUUCUGAUAUUGCACCUCAGACCAAGGUUAAGUAAUAUUAUUUUAUGCCCCUACUGCUCAUCAAACCUUGAUCUUUCUGAACUACUUCUCUCUCCUCGAACUCUG
rnacentral:lncRNA from 1 species